rnacentral:rRNA from 1 species
GACGAACGCUGGCGGCGUGCUUAACACAUGCAAGUCGAACGGUGAAGCGCCUUCCUUUUUGGUGGGUGUGGAUGAGUGGCGAACGGGUGAGUAACACGUGAGUAACCUGCCCCCUUCUUCUGGAUAACCGCAUGAAAGUGUGGCUAAUACGGGAUAUUCUGGGUCUGUCGCAUGAUGGGUCUGGGAAAGAUGUUGUUUCGGUGGGGGAUGGGCUCGCGGCCUAUCAGCUUGUUGGUGGGGUGAUGGCCUACCAAGGCGGUGACGGGUAGCCGGCCUGAGAGGGUGGACGGUCACACUGGGACUGAGGCACGGCCAAGACUCCUACGAGAGGCAGCAGUGGGGAAUAUUGCACAAUGGGCGCAAGCCUGAUGCAGCGACGCCGCGUGAGGGAUGGAGGCCUUCGGGUUGUGAACCUCUUUCGCCAGUGAAGCAGGCCUGCCUCGUUUGUGGGUGGGUUGACGGUAGCUGGAGAAGAAGCGCCGGCUAACUACGUG